rnacentral:lncRNA from 1 species
AAGGAAAGGCCUAGGAUCGUAGUUAAUGGGAGUCGUGGGGUUGCAAGGAUUAUUGUGAGUUUUUUGUUUUGUUUUUAAAGCGAGAGAUUUAGGUAUCUGUAAGGCCAGAAUGGAGAGACAGGGAGAUGUUACCUAUAGUGGAGAGAGAAAGGAUGUUAGGAGGAUGUUCUGAGGAAGCACAAGGUGAGGUUAGCUAAGCCUGGUUACAAUGCUUUGCCUCGGACAGAAGAAAGUUACUGAGAUAGGCGGGAAAUGAAGUCCUGAAGGCAGGAAUUUUGGUGCUUUAGCAUCUGACGACCGUGAUUUUUUUCAAAAGAGGGCAGGAAUAAGACUUGCUGGGAGCAUUGACAAUUUGGGAUGACUGCAUUACUUGGUAGAAAUUGUGUUUCACAGAAUUUGCCGUGGGUGAAACAGAAGAAAGAUUUUUCUCUCACAUGAAGAACUCUGGAGGUAGACUGCCUGAGUGCUGGUUUGGUGGUGUCUUGGCAUCACAAAGUACCCAAUGUCUUCUCUUUCUACUCCAACUAAGUGCUAGGAAUUUAGCACUGAUUUCCUUCUUCAACCUGCAUCAUGAUCCAAGAUUCCUGCUCCAAGUACAAAGGUAGGGAAAGUAAUGGGAGAGGAUAAAGAGCAGAGCAGAUGGUGCACACAGCAACUUCUGCUCUGUCAUUGAUCUUUUUCUGAAGGAGUAAUACUAGAAAACUCCUGCAGUUUCAGAUCAUUAUCUAUCUCACUAGUUACCCACAGCUGAAAGGAUUUUGAGGAGCUCUUAUCUUUUAGCAGGGCAUGUUGUCACUUAUAAUAAGGUGGGAUGCUGUCCCCAAGAACGAGGGGAGAAUAGGUACUAAUUAGGUAAAUAACUGCUAUAUAUUGCUUUAGUUAAUGGAAGAAUCAGUAAUUUCCCACUUCCCUUCACUUAUAUGGAGUCCAAUCAUCAUCAUCCCUUCUUCCCUUCACAGCUAAAUUUCUUUAUAAAAGGUCAUAAACACUCAGGCUUCUCCACCUCCUGCUCCUUCACUCACUGCAAAUCUUGAUUUUGUUACCACCGUGUUCACUCAUCCACCCUCACCAAGAACACUAAUGAACCCCUUGCUGCUAAUGGCAUGGAAACUUCAGUCCUCAUGUCACUAAACCUUGCCUCUCAGGUACCAGCCCACCUCAUUCUCCUUCCUCUCUGCUUGCCCUUCUUUUUUUUUUUUUUUUUCUUUUUUCCUGCUUGCCCUUCUUAAAGUCUUUUACUGGCUUCUCUUCUAAAAUUUCUGUCUUCAGUGUUCACAUUCUCUAUGUUACGGUCCUUAUGUUUCCUCUCUCUUAUUCCACCUUCUCUCUGCAUUUUCACACAUCCUCAGGGCAUCAAAUACAACUAGCAGACUGCUCAAUCCUAAAUCUCAAUCUCCACUGUAUCUACCAGACCUUUACAUCUCAGUAGAAGAUUUUGUUAUUGUUAGGACAUGCACUAAUGAUGAUUCUUGUUUACAUCCUUGGGAGAAAGCAACAUCCUAGCAUACCGUUAACCUCCACACAUGGCAUAGCAGUUGAGAAGCUUUUUUAGGUGUGUAUGCGUAGGCAAUAUGUUAUCUAGAUGGUUAUAUCCAACCCAGCCAAGCAGGUGGAGUUGUUGUAGGUUUGAAAUUGUUUUCUGGCAGUAUAUCUGAGGUAUAACUACUUUAUGUUGCCAAAUAGUUGGGGAAUCAUAAUGUUUAACAAUCAUUAGGUAUGGGGACAGAGUACCCAGUCCUUGAGAAACUGUAUACUGUCUGAAUAGAAGGCCUUUCCACCUUCUCUCGGUAGGAACUCAAAGUCCAGAUUAUACUUCGAAAUAAUGUAUUAGGUGUUCAGUGCAGUUUAAUCUCGCUUACUCUUCUUCUUUCCCUAUUUAAUUUUAUUUUUUCAGUUUCCCCCCUAGAUUCUGCUGUUUUCAUUAUAAACAAAAGAAAUGGAUGAGGAAAAACGGACUAUUUGUAUAUACAUUGAACAACAGAGUUAUCAGUUUGCUUUCUUAGUAGCCAGAGAGCUGUCUGGAUUCAAUCUAACUACUUUGAGCAUUUUGAAAACAAAAACAAAAACAAAACUUAUGCCUGUAAAUUUUAAUAAAAAGCAAAUACAAAUUCUAAAUAACAAGGAUAUAGAACUAAAAUAUUUUUAUUAUUUCUGGGGUGCUAGGUGGCUCAGUCAGUUAAGUGUCCACCUUUGGCUCAGCUUAUGAUCUUGCAGUUUGUGAGUUUGAGCCCCAUGUUGGGCUCUGUGCUGACAGCUCAGAGCCUGGAGCCUGCUUGGGAUUCUGUGUCUCCCUCUCUCUCUGCCCCUCCCCUGCUACCUCUCCUUCUCUCUCUCUCAAAAAUGAAUAAACAUUAAAAAUUUUUUAAUAAAAUAUUUUGAUUGUUUUUAAUUUAUUUAUUUCAAAGUUUGUUUAUUUUGAGAGAGAGAAAGAGAGCAAGCAGGGAAGGAGCAGAGAGAGAGUGAGAGAGAGAAUCCUAAGUAGACCCCAUGCUGUCAAUGCAGAGUUCAAUCUCACGAACUGUGAGAUCAUCACCUGAGCUGAAAUGAAGAGUCAGAUGCUUAACCAACUGAGCCACCCAGGUGCCCCUAUUUAUUUAUUUUUUUAAAGUAAUCCUUACAUCCAACAUUGGACUCAAACUUACGACACCAAGAUCCAGUCACAUACUCUUCCAACUGAGCCAGCCAGGUGCCCUAAGAACUAAAAUAUGUUAAAGAUCAAUUUUAAAACAUAAAAAAAUGCAAAAAAGAUAUUAAGUUGACUCAUGUCCUCUUAAAAUUCAUGUUUUUUUUUAAGUUUAUUUAUUUUGAGACAGUGAGAAAUAGAGGCCAGCAGGGAAGGGGCAGAGAGAGAGGGAGGGGGAGAAUCCCAAGAAGACUCUGCUGUCAGCGCAGAGCCCGAGGCAGGGUGCAGUCUCACAAACUGUGAGAUCUUAACCUGAGCUGAGAUCAAGAGUCAGAUGCUUAAUCAACUGAGACAUCCAAGCGCCCCUUAAAAUUCGUAUGUUGAAGUCAAACCCCCAGGAGAUCAGAAUUUAACAAUAUUUAGAGAUAGGACGUUUAAUGAGGUAAUUAAGGUAAAAUGAGAUCAUUUGGGUGGGCCUUAAUUCAGUAUAGCUGGUGAUCUAAUAAAGACCCAGAGAUGUGAGGCAGAAAGAAAGUGUGAGGACAUGGUGAGAAGGCAGCCAUCUGCAGGUCAUGGAGAGGCCACAAAAGAAACCAAACCUACCAAAACUUUGAUCUUGGACAUGUAGACACCAGAACUAUGAGAAAAUAAAUUACUGUUAUUUAAACUGCUCAAUCUGGGGGCGCCUGGGUGGCUCAGUCGGUUGGGCGGCCGACUUCAGCUCAGGUCACGAUCUCGCAGUCCGUGAGUUUGAGCCCCGCGUAGGGCUUUGUGCUGACAGCUCAGAGCCUGGAGCCUGUUUCGGAUUCUGUGUCUCCCUCUCUCUGACCCUCCCCCAUUCAUGCUCUGUCUCUCUCUCUAUCUCAAAAAUAAAUAAACGUUAAAAAAAAAAUUAAAAAAAAACAAAACUGCUCAAUCUGUAGUAUUCAUUAUGGCAGCCCUAGCAAACUAAUGCAGAAGCAGUUAAUAUAAAAAUAGGAUAGUGUGUUGUAUGUUUCAGUACAGUAAUAUGAAAAAGAAACAACUUUUAUAGCCAUCCAAUAAGUCAGCAUAAUUCAUGCUUUCUGGUAUGAUUGGUCCAACAAAAGGGAAUAUGAUUAUUCUUGUACAGUAUUAUGAAACAUAAAAUUUCUUAAUUCAAAAUGUUUUUACUAGCUCUACCCUCACCAGAUGUAGGUUUUUAACAAAUUAAGCCAAACCUCAUAUUUUUCUUUGAAUUCCAGCAAACUAAUGUGUAAGAAGCAACACAAACCUAUACCUCUCUCUAGAGAAGAGUAAGGUCCCUAGAUAAUUAUAGGGUGAAAGCUGGUCACCAAAAAGACCAAACAAGAUUAGAGCUUUAAAUUUCCCUUUCCACCUCCUGGCAGUGGGGAGGGGGAAGGUUGCUGAAGAUUGAGUGGGAAAACAAAAACAAAAAAUAAACUUGAACCAGGAGAUUGAGAGAGCUUUGGGGUUGGUGUAUCCUUUUUCCAUUAAAUUCGACUCUGUUCAUAGUAGGCAAGAGAAAUGAUAUGAAGAAAAAUUGACUAUUUGUAUAUAUACUGAUAUGGCAGGAAGGUGAUGCAUCAAGAGAGGGCAUGGGCAUUCUGUGCCAUCCCCAAACCCCAUACCUUUUCUUAGCUCUGUCUUCCAUUUGGCUGUGUCCUUUAUAACAAACUGGUAAAUAUGAGUAAAGUGCUUUACUGAGAUCUGUGAGUUCUAGUGAAUUUGCAAACCUGAGGAGGUGGUGGUAGGAACUACCAAAUUGGUAGUUGGCUGGGCAGAAGUUUUGUGGCCUGGCCACCCCAUUCAAAACUGGCAUCUGAGUCAGGGCAGUCUUAUGGGCUGUCUUACGGGUAGUGCACUAACUCUGGGUGUUGUCAGAAUUGAAUUGUCCAAUUCAAUUGAACCUAGUUGGUGUAGAGAAUUGGUUGUUUCAAAUAUAUAUAUUUGGGGGGCAUGUCUGGGUGGCUCAGGUCAUGAUCUCACAGUUUGUGGGUUUGAGCCCCGCAUCAGGCUCCACACUGGCGGCACGGGGUCUGCUUGGAAUUCACUUUCUCUCCUUUUCUCUCCGCCCUCCUCCACUCUCGCUCUCUCUCAAAAUAAAUAAAUGAACUUAAAAAAAAUAAAAAUAUACGUUUGGUGUUAAAAAAAAGGUGAGAUUCACUAGAACUUCCUUCACUUAGAUAAACCUACAGUUUGGGAAGAGAAUGCACAAAAUGUCAGUGAUGAGCUAUCUUUGAUUCCUGACUGACCAUAUGGUCACCUGUGGUACAGAACAGAGCUGUCCUGCUAAACUAAAAGGUACCAGUGGGAUUUAGGGAUGGACUCAAUUUCCAGGGAGUUGGCUCACUUGAUGCAUAAGGAAAUGAAGACUAAUAAGAAAAAUGCGAAAUAUACAACAUCUUGGUUGUUGUCAGCUGUAAUAGCUAAAAUGAAAAUAAAAGAGAAUACUGGAUUGGACCUUGAUGCUGGACCAAGCUCAAAUAUUAGUUGGUCCCAGCUUAGGCCAUAGGCUCAAAGCCAUCCCCAAAUAGAAUAAUUAUUCUGGAACAACAUAAAGUACUUCUUUUUUUUUUUUUUUUAAUGUUUAUUUUUGAGAGCAAGAAAGAGUACAAGCAGGGGAGAGGCAGAGAGAAAGGGAGACACAGAAUCUGAAGCAGGCUCCAGGCUCUGAGCUGUCAGCAAAGAGCCCAACGCAGGGCUCGAAUUCACAGAUCAUGACCUGAGCCUAAGUAGGACGCCUAACCAACUGAGCCACCCACAUGCCCCUAGAAAGUAUUUCUAAAACCUCUGCUCACCAAGAAAGUAGUGCACACCGGAGGAGGGCAAAAAAUGUAAAUCAUUGAAACCAGAGGGUUCCAAGUUCUGAAAGUAAUUGAAAUUGACAAGUAGAUAUCCUUGUGUGUUUGCUUGUGGUGGCCACCUGAGUCAAUGAGUGGGUGUUGAGGGGACUGCAGCAAUGCAGAGAUGGGCUGAAUGUAGACCUAUUCCUUCAUGCCCUCUGAGGUACGAAAUGUCAAUAAGGACUGUUCUGUUUGCCAACCAAGAGUCAGAGACUGCGGAUAGCUAUGUGGCAGAUUCCCAAUGGCAAGGCCUUGAGCAUGGCUGACAAGUCAGACAUGCCCAGCCCCCUGGGGCUACAGAUGGGUCUUGAUAAGAAUGGACACUGUUUUGGGGCUGGACUUUGCUUAACCAGUGUUCAAAGCAAAUGUAUCAGAGUAAUAGAAUCUGAACAGAGGAUAUUACACCAAAUUUGGACCACUGAAUCAUAUUUUUUUUUGAAUCAUAUUUCUUCAGACCAAAGAAAAUGCUUUACAGCCCAUAAUCUCUAAAAUGGGCAAAGAAAGGGGCACCUACCUGGCUCAGUUGGUAGAGCAUGUGACCCUUGAUCUCGAGGUCAUGAGUUCAAGCCCCACAUUGGGUGUAGAGCUUACUUACUUACUAAACAUACGAAUAGUGAAUAGAGAAUUGGAAUUCGCAAUUGAAAAUUGGUUGUUUAAAUCAGGGGGUGUGAAGGAAGAUAGGCAUGAGUGUGUGCUUACAUUCAAAAUGAAGGGGAGUAUCCCUCCUAGAUAGAUUCCUUUGUCUUUCUGGUAGAUCUGGCUAUGAGCAUCUGAGGGAGGAUGCUAGUAGGACUGUGCAAUUCUUCCCAAGGCAAAAGACUAGAACUAUAUUUUUUUCAUUAUUGGGGUGCCUGGGUGGCUCAGUCGGUUAAGUGUUCAACUUUAGCUUAGGUCAUGAUAUCACGGUUUACAAGUUUGAACCCCAAGUUGGGCUCUGUGCUGACGGCUCAGAGCCUGGAGCCUGCUUCAGAUUCUGUGUCUCCCUCUCUCUCUGCCCCUCCCCUGCUCACAUUCUGUCUCUCAAAAAUAAAACAUUAAAAAAAAUUUUUUAAGGUAUUAUGUUAGAAUUCCUUAAGGGCCUGAGAGGGGAGGAUUGUGCUUUCAUUCUGUCUGGCAAAAUUAAGGUUAAUAGUGAAUGCAGCUAUAUUCCCUGGUGGUAAAAAUAGUCCACCAGUUCUGUACCUAUGUAACUCUACCUGUUACUGAAACCCAAUUUCAACUGCCCUUCACUCAAAAAGCCAAUACACAAGAGACUAGUUUUGAUUGGAAAGAAAUAUGAGCUUUAUUCAGGAGAGAAUGGCCACCUGGAGAGAAGGCAGACCUGUCCAAAUGCCAACUCUGAGGUUUCUGCCCAGCCCAGAGAUUUUUUAAAGCGGUUAAUCAGUUAAGGGAGUGCAGUGGUCUGUAACAAUUCUUGAUUAUGUGCAGACUCGUGGUACUAGCUACAGAUGUUAUUUUGGUGCUCAGAGGUUGUGCAAGGGAGUCUGGUUCCUUGUUGCCCGGGAGUACAACAGGGUCUGGUGAUGUGUAGAAGGUCUCUGUUCUUUUUUUUAGGAAAGAAUGCAUGAUCUAUAGAUAUAGAAAGAAAGGUUUAAUUAGUCAAUCAUACAGGCUAAGGAUGCUUACAAAAGCUAGUAAACUACUAGGUUGGCUGGAGGGCUCCAAGUGUCUUCAUACCCUAUGGUAUGAAUGGGGAUGGACUGAUGGGGAGGUGCCUACCAAACUAGAACUGCUGCUUGCAGUACAGACUGGCACAGUGACCCAACGUAACUUUCAGAAGGUGGAAAAGUUUGGGUAUAAAUGGAGAGAAGGAGGAACAGUAGCUGAGGAUAAAUGAGUAAAUGAGUUGUGUAAGUGACGGAAAUCCAAUAUUACAUUAAUACCUGGAAAGUAGAUCAGAAUAAAAGAUAACCUUGUCUCUUAGCUCCAUUACACGUACUAGUUGCCUGAAAGGAUGAAGCCAUUUCUGGUUUUACAACAGUUAAGAUCUAGAAUGUGUGCCUAUAAACCUGAGAAGCCUCGCCCUGGGAGACAUUUUCAAAUGAAAGGAUAAUGGACUGGACUAAUUAUUAAUUAUUGAAUGGACUCUAGUAAUAUGUUAGUAUCUUUUAAUUCUUAUAAUCUUUUUUGUUACAGAUCCAUGGCCUGUGGUAUAAGAAAAACAUACAGGGGCGCCUGGGUGGCUCAGUCGGUUGAGCGUCCAACUUCG